AAUACCAUUAUAUGCUGAUUGGAGAAAAGAAGAGUUCCAGACUGUAAAUCUGACUCUGGAUGCAGACACUGCCCAUCCUGCCCUCUUCCUGUCUGAAGAGGGGAGAAGAGUAACCUGGAAAGAACCAUCUCAGGAACUUCCCAGCUGCUCACAGAGAUUUGUC